AUCCUACGGGGGGCAGCAGUGAGGGAUAUUGGUCAAUGGGGGAAACCCUGAACCAGCAACGCCGCGUGAGGGAAGACGGUUUUCGGAUUGUAAACCUCUGUCCUCUGUGAAGAUAAUGACGGUAGCAGAGGAGGAAGCUCCGGCUAACUACGUGCCAGCAGCCGCGGUAAUACGUAGGGAGCGAGCGUUGUCCGGAUUUACUGGGUGUAAAGGGUGCGUAGGCGGCCUGCUAAGUCUGGAGUGAAAGGUACCGGCUCAACCGGUACAGGCUCUGGAAACUGGCGGGCUAGAGAGCAGG
rnacentral:rRNA from 1 species